rnacentral:lncRNA from 1 species
GAGAGUUGCUCAUGAUUCGUGCAGACAAAGGAGGACACGGACCACACUCCCUUCCCGUGAAGCACACGCUGAGUAUCGGACCAUGUGCCGCCACAAGCAGAAAUGAGCUGAUGGGUAGAAGGGACUGGGUCCUUGCUUUGCCUCACUGUGGCUCCCAGCUCUCAGAAGCCUUGCAUGCCUCAGGCUCCAAGGCAUCUGCACUGACCCGUGAUCCGGGAUAAAGGGAAGACUGCGAUGUUUCUAAGUUUGGUAGUUUUCUUUUUAAGUCUAAAUUCUCUUUCCCAUUAAAGUGGCUGGUUUUAUCUAA